GAUGAACGCUGGCGGCGUGCUUAACACAUGCAAGUCGAGCGAAGCACCUUGACUUCUUCGGAAUGAUUGGUGACUGAGCGGGCGACGGGUGAAGGUAACGCGUAGGGUAACCUGCCUCACACAGGGGGAUAACAGUUAGAAAUGACUGCUAAUACCGCAUAAGACCACAGCACCGCAUGGUGCAGGGGUAAAAAACUCCGGUGGUGUGAGAUGGACCCGCGUCUGAUUAGCUAGUUGGUGAGGUAACGGCUCACCAAGGCGACGAUCAGUAGCCGACCUGAGAGGGUGACCGGCCACAUUGGGACUGAGACACGGCCCAAA
rnacentral:rRNA from 1 species